UUAGAUAUUUAUUAUUUCCAUUAUCAUGUACUUAAUUAUCACCGAGCUUUUUUUUCUUAAUUUUCAUAAUCGGUUUCGGAUUUACUCUUGUUUAGAUUAAUUUCUUCGAUACGAACAUAGGAAUAAUUUAUUUGUUUUGUUUUGUUUUGUUCUGUUCUGUUCGAUGCUUCAUGAUUCAAUUAUAUUUCGAUUAUACUUUAACGUCUGAUUUUUCUUUUUUCUCUGUCACUCUAUCUGCCGUUGCGGAAUACCUCUCUUAUGUUUCAUCUGUUUCCAUAGGUUACAAUUCGUUCUUCAUUAUGUUCUUCUUAACUGCUACAUUAUCUGCAUCUUUUUCGAAAUUUUAACUGUGCAGAGAAGAUGCCAUGUCAAAGAAAUGUAUUCUGCAUCGUAUUUGCAUUUGAACUCUUUUUCAUGGUCCGGACUUAUUCCUUAAUUUCACUUGUCAGGAAACUUCUUUCUAAUUAAAUACUUCUGCUGCUAUGUCAUCUGAACACUGGAUCUCCAGAAUUUUCUAUCCAUAAUAAGUCAAUGUUCAUGGCUCAGUAUAUAUCUAUUCUGCUACUUUAAUCCAUCCAAACAUAAAUUGACAGAUAUUUAAUUUUUCUCAAAUAAACUGCCAUUGCAGUAGCUUAUUGCUUCUUCUCUCCAUCAGAAAAUGAUAAAAAAACUAUACCACAAACUGUUUCUUCUUUCACGUUUAUUAUAUUUUAAAAAGACGUUAUGCUACUUUAACAAGUGAAUUACCAGGGCUACUUUUUAAUUUAUCUUAAUCAGUUUAUCUGCGGUUCAUUAAUGUGUUUCUUUUGUUUCAUUUGUUGACAUGGGUCACCACAUCUUCCUUCGACUUGUUCACUUCUACAUUAUCUGAUUGACAUAAAUUCAAAAGUAGCCCUUCUACCCUGGCAAACAAAUAUAUAUCAACUGAUACCACCAGAGGGCAUAAAAUAUCUCUUACAUUGGUUAUUCACCAGGUAAUUUUUUAUCUUAAAUUUUCCUACAAUCGUACCUUUUAUGCUUAUAGACCUAUAAUAAUGGGAAAGACAUGUAUUCAUAAUAUCAGCACAUUGGUGGAAACUUCUUUCUAAUUAAAUACUUCUGCUGCUAUUUUCUGUUGAUGUAUAAAAUCUUGUAACAAACAUGCUAUGUCAUCUGAACACUGUUGAUGUAUAAAUUCGUUCUAUGUUUGCUCUUGUUUCUCCAGGUUGGGUCCUUUGUUCUACAGGUUCCCCUUGGUUUUGAUAGAUUUCUCUUAGCAGUGCACAUGUUAGUAUAUGCUUUCAUGGAUUUUUUGUAUAGUUGCUGCCUCAAAUUCCUUCUUGAUUGAUGUUGCUUUGGUGAGCUUAGCUUAUUCUGCCUCUUCGGGAUUCCUCUUGGUUAAUAUACUUUCCUUACCAGAAAAAAUAAAUUUGUGACGUUCUUUCUCUGAUGGAUUUCCCAAGGGAUUAUAAUAUAUUAGUGUUUUUCAAUGCAGAAUAAUAUCUCACUGAAGUUGACAAAUCAGCAGGUCUUCUUUUAUAGUUUUUCUUCAUUGUUUCUAAAUUGAUUCUUCCCCCCCAUUUUUCUUUGUUUGUACAACUUUUACCUUACGUAGAUAUCUCCACGAAUCUGGUAUCUUCGUCUUUUCAAUGGUGUUGCAGAUACAAGGACAAAAUCAAAGAUGGCACAGUCUUUGUCUGAACCUGUUUACACUAUGUAUUAUGUAUGAUUUAACUGUUCUUGUAAUGACAUGGACCACUUCUUAUGUGUCAUGUUGCAGAUAUGAAUUUUCGACACAAUUGCAAACAACUUGUACUCAACUCGGGUGGGUCUUUCCAUUUUCUAGUUAGCACAAACAAGACCAUUAUUUUUGUCAUGACUCACUAAUUAUAUAUAUCAAUACGUUGAUCUCGUGUGGCUUAAUGCUUCUUAUGUUUCAUCCUUUCCAAUCUCCCUAUGGGAUAUCUCCAAACCUUUUUUUACUCCUUACGGUGUUCUAUAAAAUUUUGAACUACUAUAUAUGACAACAUUUUCCUGUUUUUCAUUCUACUAAGAUAAUUUGUCCCCACAUUCUUAUUCCAUUAUCCUUAUUUCUUUCUUUGCUGCUACGGCUUCCGAUCCUGCACCCGAUUUGCCAACAUCUCAUUCUUUCUUCCCCGUGGGUGGCCACAUGCUCUGGGGUCUGCUAGCAGGUUCUUUCUUCUCCUUGUUUAUUUAUUUGGAUUGCUACUUCUUCAUUCAAUUCCAGAAGAAUAAUGUUUCUGUUUGGGCGUGAGGGUUAAUAUAAUUUGUUGAUGCUUAUUUUAUGUACAAAUAAUACACCCAAAAAAAAUAAAUUUCCUGCAAUGUGCCCAUUGCAUUUAGAAGAGCUGCAACUUAAAUGAAUAAGCUUACCGGAUGACACACAUCAGUCUUUACCGGCAGGUACCAAGUACAAAUGUAAUUAACAUUAGUUUUAUAUGCAGUCUGUAUUGUGGUGUUAUCUUCUGCCCAGUUGCUUGUAUUAUAUAUCUCAUUUUCGCUAUAUCGAUGCAUAAAAAGUUAUCACAAUCUGUUACCUGUGGUUGCAUUUUUCUUGGUCACCAUGAGUCACUGCAACUUUAUUGAUACUACUAUCCUGCAAAUCAAAUGCUAAACACUUGCAUAAAAGUCCUUGCAAAUCCAUUUAAUUACCAGCAAUCAUCUGAUUCUGUAUCUCUAUGUGAUGAAAUUCUCGACUGCAUUGUUCUACACUUGCAUAAAACUACAUUGGUGCCUUGAAUGAAUGUUUAUUGCACUAUAAUGUUACAGAUAUUAAUUCUGCAUCUUAUUUGCAUUUGAAUUCAUUUUGAUUGUAUUUUAUAUGAUCAUGUGAAACCAUAAAGUACUAAUCUAUUAUUUUGUUAAUUUUACAGCUUUACUUUUUUACAGUAUUGCGUAUGUAUUAUGCACGGUUGACAAUUUAACAUUAUAUAUAUUGAAUAAUUUGUACUGAAUUAUCCAAAAUAAUUACAUGACCCCCUUCUGAAAUUCUCCAGAUAUGUAUUUUCGACACAAUCUCAAGUUACUGCUACUGAGAUUGUGUCUUUCUAUUUUCCUGUAUUAAUUUACAAUGGUUCAGUCAGUAAUAGUUUCUGUCUAUCAGUUUAUCACUCAGUAAAAGUUUUACAUGUUGCAAAUAUGUUUUGGAACUUAUUUGAAUUUGCAUAAUUUAUUCUGCUGUGUGAUUGCCUAAUUAAAAAAAAACUGUCCUGGAACCCAUGAUACAGACAAACAACGGCCAAUAGAUAGAUUUAUUGUACUAGAAUCGUGGUACAUUACAAGGUAAACAGGUAAGGAUAAACUUUUUUUCAAACCAUAUUUGAUCUCUUGUUUCAGUCAUAAUUAAUUUCGGAGUUCAGUUAUGUCUGUGCUGUUCUGCUAUACCAACCGAUUUAGGAUGCUUCCUGAUUCAAUUAUAUUUCGAUUAUACUUUAACGACUGAUUUAGGACUUCUGAUUUUUCUUUCUUCAAAGUCACUCUAUCUGCGGCUGCGGAAUACGUUUCUUAAUUUUCGUUUGUUUUCCAUAGGGUUUAGGAUUCGUUCUUCAUUAUGUUCUUGUUAACUGCUACAUUAACUGCUAAAUUGACAGAUUUUUCAUUUUUCUCAAUUACUGUGAUUGCAGUAGUGACGUCGCAUUUUUAGUUCCGUCAGAAAAUUAUAGAAAAACUAUACCACAAACUGUUUAUUCUUUCACUUUAAUUAUAUUUUAAAAAGACAUUCUGCUACUUUAACAAGUGAAUUAGAAGGGCUACUUUUUAAUUUAUCUCAAUUGGUUUAAUGUGUUGCUUUUGUUUCAUUUGUUGCCAUGGGUCACCACAUCUUCCUUGAACUUGUUCACCUCUAAAGUAUCUUAAAUUUUAUACAAUGGUACCUCUUAUGUUUAUAGACCUAUGAUGGGAAAGACAUGCAUUCUGCAUCUUAAUUUACCUUGAAAAUGUUUUAAUUGGCUGCACUUGUUCCUUCAAUAAUAGAACUUUAAGUUAUUAUUCAUAAUAGCAGCACAUUGGUGGAAACUUCUUUCGAAGUAAAUAACAUGCCAACCAGACCUCUGCCAGCUUUCUCACAAAUGGGCUAUGCAGAAUGGUCCAACUUCUUUCUUUCUUUCACAAUAUUUUUUUUCCCUUAUGUUGUCGUAUCAGUGCUCACAAUAUUUUGUUUCUUUAUAUAUAUGUCUGAAGAAUGUGAGUUAUAUAGCAUAACAGAUGCUAUUCAGCUACUACAAUCCAUUUGCUACUUUAAUUUGGAAAAAACAAUAACCACGAAUUCUUUGAUUGAUUGUAAGAUCAUACUUUCUUUUGCCUCAAGAAAGAAUCGUUGCCUUCAUAUUUUCAUUUGUUUCCAUAGGGUUUAGGAUUCGUUUCUUUUGCCUUCAUUCUCUUACAUACUUCUUUCUGGCUCAAUCAUUUUGCAGGAUAUCAAAAUAAUAGCGGAGGUCUCCUCUACCAUUGAUCUGCUUCAGAUAUAUGAGUCUCCCUCUGCCAGAUAUCUCUGAGACGGCUACAGAUGUUUUACUGAUUGAAUGGCUCGGAAACAGAAUUCAGUAGCGGCCAUCCGUCGGAUAACGGUUGAGAGCAUAUACAUGAUAUUCUGCAAUGGUUUUCAUCAGGCAACCAGGAUGAUGCCCAUCCUCCAUAUCGGUAUUGGAUUUCAUCAGGCAACCAGGAUGAUGCCCAUCCUCCAUAUCGGUAUUGGAUCCCAAUGGGCUUUCGAUCCUCCACCCAAUUUUCCAACAUCUCAUUCUUUCUUCCUAUUUCUUUCUUUCCCGUGGGUGGCCACAUGCUCUGGGGUUUGCUAGCAGAUAUGUAUUUUCGACACAAUCACAAGUUACUGCUAAUCAGGUUGUGUCUUUCUAUUUUCCUGUAUUAAUUUGCAAUGACUCAGUCAGUGAUAGUUUCUACUUUUCACUUUAUCACUCAGUAAAAGUUUUACAUGUUGCAAAUAUGUUUUGGAACUUAUUUGAACUUCCAUAAUUUAUUUUGCUGUGUAUGUGAUACGUACCUGGUCUGCUCAGCCUGCUUCCUGGAGUCUUCUGUUGGCCUGAUUUUCCCUAUGCAGGAGAACUCUACUCAGUUCAGCAGAAACUACCUCCAGACACAGCUUGGUUCUAGCAGCAGAGAAUCUUUCAAGACAGAAAUCGCAACCAACUAUGUAAUUCAGUAUAUGAACAAGCUAAUUGAAUCAACAACACAAUAACUUCUAAUCAUUUGUAUUAAUUCAGAAUAUUGCCAUGAAUAUAACUGUUCUUCUACAGUAUUCAGUUCAAUAAUAUUAAUACAAUUUGACAUGCCAUCAAAACCCAGCACAAAAGUACAUAACCAAAAUCUCUCCCUGCAGUCAUCCAAACCCCGAGAGGUUGGCCCUUCCUUCUUGCUCUCUUUCUUCUUAAUUACCCUCUUUCUCUUUCUCCUCUCUUUUAUAUCAUGUCUUCCCUUGUUGCUUUCCCGCUCUAUUAGUGUCACCUCAGCUAUAGGAGUUGUUAUGAUGCCUCUUGGCUUCUGCUGCAAGCUUGUUGCUUCAUCCUUAGUUGAAACUAGUCCCCUGCUUCAGCUCCAUUUUGCUGCUCUCCAAUGGCUUCAUUUUGCUGAUCUUCAGUGGUUUCUUCCGAGUUGCUGCUAGCAUUCCCUUUUUUGUUAGUUUUAUUUCUUACAUACACCUUCAUCCUAACAUUGCCCCGCCCAUCCAAAGGCUCCUUGUCCUCAAGGUGUAGGUAAGGAAAUAGGCGCCUGAUAUUGGUGUAUAAUUCCCAUGAAUUUUUGCAUUCGGGUAAGGUUUUCCACCGGAUGAGCAGUUCCAGGAGACCAUGGGGGGAAUACCUGUAACCCAGGACCUCCUCAGGUUGCACUGUCAGCUCCAUAUCUUCAUUCAAGCAGUUAGGCAGUGGCUGGGACAACAUUGACGAUCCUACUUGUUUCUUUAAUUGUGAAACAUGGAAAACAGGGUGGAUUUUAGCUUCUUCAGGCAACCGUAACCUAUAAGCAACCUGCCCUUUUCUUUCGAGUACCUCAUACGGUCCAUAAAAGCGUGGGCUAAGCUUCUCGUUCGGGCGAGAUGCUAACGAACGGAAACGAUAGGGCUGUAUUUUCAAGAAGACUCUAUCUCCCACCUGAAAUUCGAUCUCCCUUCUGUUUUUGUCGGCAGUCCUUUUCAUCCUCUCUUGAGCUUUGCUCAAGUGGUUUUUUAGUUCGUCCAGGAUCUGAUUCCUCUCCUGAAUUAGGGCUGUCACAGCUUCUAUUUUGGAAUCUUCUUCCACCCAUCUAAGUAGAGGGGGUGGAUCCCUCCCAUAAACCGCUCGGAACGGAGUCAUCCCGGCUGAGCUAUGGAAGGUCGUGUUGUACCAAUACUCAGCCCAUGGUAACCAUUUCUGCCAGUUUCUAGGCUGUCUCCCACAGAAACAGCGAAGAUAUGUUUCGAGGCCUCAGUUUACCACUUCGGUUUGCCCAUCUGUUUGCGGAUGGUAAGCCGAACUGAAUUUCAGGGUAGUCCCGGCUGCUCUGAAUAGUUCCUUCCAGAAUACACUCAUAAAAAUGCGGUCCCGAUCCGUUAUGAUGGUGCGAGGGAACCCGUGAAGGCGCACAAUUUCAUGAAUAAAUAUUUCAGCUAUAUCCUUAGCCGUGAAUGGGUGCCGAACAGCCAAGAAAUGUCCAUACUUUGUCAAUCUGUCCACAACCACCAAGAUCACACUCACUCCUUUCACUUUUGGAAGCCCUGUUAUGAAGUCCAUGGACAGGUCUUCCCACACGUUUGAUGGAAUCGGUAAAGGCUGCAGUAACCCCGCCGGAGAGGCUGCCUCGUACUUCAUUCUCUGACAUACAUCACAUUCAGCUACAAACUUUCUAAUGUCAGAUUUCAUGCCUUCCCAGAACAGCAGAGAAGUCAGCCUUUUAUAUGUUCGGAAAAAACCGGAGUGGCCUCCGUAAGAUGAAGAAUGAAAUUCUGAAAUGAGUUUCUGAAUGUACCUGGAUUGCUUCGAAAUGACUAACCUGCCAUGGUACAUCAGUAUGCCUCCCUUCAAGGAAUAUCCAGGGAAGGUUGUAGAAUUGCAGAGCAGCCCUUGAACAAUCUGUUUUAGUUUCUCAUCCCCUGCUACUUCCUGCUGCAACCAUUCGGACUCUUCCACCUGGAAUGCUGAAACAGCUUGCAAGGCCCCCGUGAAUUUGGGGUUACGCGACAGAGCGUCAGCUGCUUUAUUUUCACAUCCGGGCCGAUAGAUAAUUUCGAAAUCGUAUCUUAGCAUCUUCACCAGCCAGCGUUGUUGAUCAGGGCUUGUUAUUUUCUGUUCUGUAAGGAAUUUCAGGCUCCUUUGGUCCGUUCGCACCUUGAAACGCCUGUCAAGGAGGUAAUGUCUCCAUUUCUGGAAUGCCAACACUAUCGCCAUCAGCUCCCGUUCGUAAACUGAUUUGCUUCGGUUCCUCACAGAAAGAGCUUUGCUGAGAUAAGAGAUGGGCCGUCCCCCUUGCAUCAAAACCGCCCCAAUGCCGGAUCCGGAGGCAUCCGUUUCCACCACGAACUCUUGAGAGAAAUCAGGAACUGUCAGAACUGGUACAGAGAUCAUGGCAGCCUUGAGAGCUUCAAAUGCUUUCCCUGGUUCAGGCCCCCAUUUGAAUGCAUUUUUCCGUAAUAAGUUGGUUAGGGGCUCCGCGAUCUUUCCGUAACCUUUUACGAAUCUUCGGUAAUACCCCGUUAACCCUAAAAACCCCCGAAGCUCCCUCAAAUCCCUCGGUACCGGCCAAGCUUCCAUAUCACUAAUUUUCCGUGGGUCUGCCUCCACCCCUCUCUCAGACACAAUGUGUCCCAAAUAUUCAAUCUGUUUCUGCCCAAACAUACAUUUCUUUUUAUUUAAGACCAGCUGAUGUUUUCGCAGGAUAAGCAUUACCAGCCUUAGGUGUUCCAGGUGCUCUCGAAGGCCUCCACUAUAUAUUAGUAUAUCAUCGAAGAAUACUAGAACGAACUUGCGUAGGAGGGGCCGAAAGAUUUCAUUCUUCAAUCCCUGGAAGGUGGCUGGCGCAUUGGUUAGACCGAACGGCAUUACCAGAAAUUCAUAAUGCCCUUCGUGUGUUCGAAAUGCAGUCUUCUCAACGUCCCCAUCCCAGAUUCUGAUUUGAUGGUACCCGGACUUGAGAUCCGGUUUGCUGAAUAUUCUUGCACCCCCCAACUCAUCCAGAAGCUCCUCAAUGGUGGGAAUAGGAAAUUUGUCGGGUACAGUAAUUCGAUUCAAAGCCCGAUAAUCCACACAAAAUCUCCAUUCUCCGUCCUUUUUGCGUACUAGGAUCACCGGACUCGAAAAAGGACUCACACUUGGCCGAAUGACCCCUGCAGUGAGCAUCUCUUGCACCAUUUUUUCGAUCUCAUUCUUCUGAUAGUAGGGGUAGCGGUAAGGACGCAAAUUGGGCGGUUGGGCUCCGUCCAGUAUACGGAUUGCAUGGUCCUGUUUCCUCUUAGGUGGGAGGCCCUGUGGUUCCUUAAAUAAAUCUUCGAACUCUCUCAACAAUUCUGAAAUUUCUGGUUCAUUUGCCUCUCCCCUUAUUGGUGAGUGUUCUGAAAUCAUGUUCAAUUCCACCCAGAAAGCUUCCCCUUUUUUUCUGAUGAGUUUGAACAGUACCUUGAGUGAGGUCUCCACCUUCCGCAAUGAAGAUUUUCCUCUUAAUUCAACCUUCUUUCCUUCCCACCUGAAUUUCAUAAUCUGGUUUCCCCAAUUAAUCUUGACCUCCCCCAAAUUUUUAAGCCAUUCCAUCCCUAAAAUGACAUCCACUCCACCUAAGCAGAAGGGAAGAAAAUUCUGUUUGAUAAUGAGUUCUGGAAGUGUCAGCUGGAGACCUUCACAUCUCCCUAUCCCAGAAACCUUCCUGUCAUCGCCCAACACCACUGUGUAUUUUGCCUUUCGUACGGGAAUUUUGAGCUCGGCUACCAGCUUCUCGGAGAUGAAAUUGUGAGUCGCCCCACUGUCAAUCAAUGCUAUCACCCGUCUUCCACCAAUUUCCCCUACCAAUUUCAUAGUUUUGGGCGAAUCCCUCCCUAUUACCGAGUUACUGUUUAGGUUGGCCUCUCCGGCAUCUUCUUCCACCGAAGCGUCAUCCUCCAUUAUGUCUCUCUCUUCGUCGGAUUCUUCUUCGGAAAUCAUAAUUCUCAGCUGACGAAAACGGCAACGAUGGCCUGGGACAAACUUCUCGUCGCACCUGAAGCACAAUCCUUUUUCCACCUUCGCGCGAAACUAAGCUUCUGAGAGUCGUCGGAAAUUAUUGUCCCGCCUCAGAGAGAAAGACGACGUGCUGGACGUAGUCGGUGGUCGGAAACGCGGAUCGUGAGGAGAGUUGGAAUGAGCUGAGGCAUCUGGUCGAUUUUGGAAGGGAGGGCGUGUAUUAGAAUUGCUGCGGGUCGGGUGUGGGUUCGGGUCCAGCGUUGGGCCUGUGACGCUCUUGCUGGGCUGUUGGUGGUUGGGCGCGUAAUUGGGCCUAUCUUUGGAGCCCAUGGCAGCUGGUUGGGGUGAAAUAAGUAUUGGGUUGGGGUGUGAAAAGUAUCCGGGUCGGGUGGCUUGGCCUGUGGUUCGUGGGUACCCCUUGCCGGGUCGCCCCAAAUACUUUUCAUCAAUCACCAGGUUCUUCUUCUCCACCUGGCGCGCGCGGUUCAUCAUCUCCACGAGCGUCCGAGGGUGAAACAUCUUCACCUCGGCUCUGAUUUCUUCGGCUAGCCCGUUGAUGAAGAUCACCUUUAUCGUUUCCUCUGAUAAUCCUUCGACUGCCGCCGACAACAUUUCGAAACGGCUUCGGAACUCCUGCACCGUCCCUGUCAUGCGAAGGCUGAAGAGCUCCUCCUGGGCUGUACGUUCAUCGGUCGGAGGAAAACAUUCGAGCACUUCUCUCCUAAACUCUUCCCACCCAUCGAACGGUUGGUGCUUCUCUCUCCACUGCAACUAGUGCAAGGCAUCUCCCUCCAUGCACACGCCUACCGCCGUCAUCCUCUCCCGUUCCGUAAGGCGGUUCACCUGGAAGUAGCGCUCGACCUUGGAUACCCAGUCGAGGGUCUCCUCGCCAUGAAACAGAGGUAAUUCCAGACGCCCAUAAUGCCACUCUCUCCUAUUUCCUGUUGACACCUCCUCUGCCUCUUCCACGACGUCCUCCGCUUGGUCCUGGGGAGUCGCCGAGUUCCCUUUUGUUGGUGGGGAAUACGACGGCGACGGGUUGGUCUCUACCCUCACAUUCGUCUCCCUCGUCCCUGUCUCUCUGUUGCCUCCCUCACGGCUCACCACCGACUCCCUCAUCUCCCUCAGAUACUCUCUAAUCGUUUCCAUACUAGCUUCCACCCUUUCCAUUCUCACAUUCACGUCUCUCAUUUCUGACCCAAUCAUUUCCAUCUUCUCCUUCACCGUUGUAACCUCCGCCUCCAAGCCCUCCACUCUUGACUCCAUUCUCGUCAUGCUCUGAUACCAGUUGAUACGUACCUGGUCUGCUCAGCCUGCUUCCUGGAGUCUUCUGUUGGCCUGAUUUUCCCUAUGCAGGAGAACUCUACUCAGUUCAGCAGAAACUACCUCCAGACACAGCUUGGUUCUAGCAGCAGAGAAUCUUUCAAGACAGAAAUCGCAACCAACUAUGUAAUUCAGUAUAUGAACAAGCUAAUUGAAUCAACAACACAAUAACUUCUAAUCAUUUGUAUUAAUUCAGAAUAUUGCCAUGAAUAUAACUGUUCUUCUACAGUAUUCAGUUCAAUAAUAUUAAUACAAUUUGGCAUGCCAUCAAAACCCAGCACAAAAGUACAUAACCAAAAUCUCUCCCUGCAGUCAUCCAAACCCCGAGAGGUUGGCCCUUCCUUCGUGCUCUCUUUCUUCUUAAUUACCCUCUUUCUCUUUCUCCUCUCUUUUAUAUCAUGUCUUCCCUUGUUGCUUUCCCGCUCUAUCAGUGUCACCUCAGCUAUAGGAGUUGUUAUGAUGCCUCUUGGCUUCUGCUGCAAACUUGCUGCUUCAUCCUUAGUUGAAACUGGUCCCCUGCUUCAGCUCCAUUUUGCUGCUCUCCAAUGGCUUCAUUUUGCUGAUCUUCAGUGGUUUCUUCCGAGUUGCUGCUAGCAUUCCCUUUUUUGUUAGUUUUAUUUCUUACAUACACCUUCAUCCUAACAGUAUGAUUGCCUAAUUAAGAAAAACCUGUGCUGUAACCCAUGAUAGAGACAAACCACGACCACUAGAUAGAUUUAUUGUACUAGAACCGUGUUACAUUACAAGGUAAACAGGUAAGGAUAAACUUUUUUCAAACCAUAUUUGAUCUCUUGCUUCAGUCAUACUUAAGUAAAACUUUUAUAAGCAAACAACAAUCUGAUAUUCUUAACAUGUGUAUUUUGACUAUUCCUCGACCAUCUUUUCUUCAACAAUCUGAUAGCUUUUCAAUUAUACUUAACAUGUUAGGUAAUCAUAUUUGUUCGAAACUUAUAGUUUCGACAUGUUAGGUAAUCAUAUUUGUUCGAAAUUUAUAGUUUCAACAAAUGGAUUGGAUGACUACAAGCCAGCAAUAGCAAUGGUUGUGUUGUAAUUAUUUUCUGUGCAAUUUUCUUUUUAAAGGGUAAGUUUCUGUCUGCGGGAUUUGCUCUCUACAAUAUGGCUGCUUUGGUACAGGGAAUGACCACCACAUUUUGUUGUUUACACAGUCUACGCAAGAAAUAAACUUCUUGUACAUCAUUUUUCCGAAGGAUAAGCCUUGGUUGGAUUCUUUUAGCAUCUCUUAUUGGGAAAUUGGUUUGGCACGGCACUCACAUAUUGGAGAGUAAUCUACACUGCAAUCAAUUAUUUUACUUCCUCUGCUCUCUUAUAUAAUAAUAACAUACUGAUGUCACCAAAAAAUUUCCUCACUGUUUCAUCUUGGAGAGAAAAAAAAAAAAGUUCAGUUACCUAAUGAAAUUUGUUUAUUGCAAUAAA